UGGUAGGACAGAUUCCUUUAUCAUUAACUUUACUUGUGGGAGGAGUAGGGUCCGUAUUAGGGUUACAAAACGUGAAGAUUGAAUUGAAAAACACUGAUUCCUGCGUCUUAGUUGGAAUACUUAAAUAUUGUAACUUUUGGAGGAGUGAUGUAUCGGCGACCAUUGCAGUCCAUCGUAAGGAACAGUAUAAAUGUGUCAGCAUCAAGAGCCACCCUUGGAAAGCAUAAAGUACUCUGUAGCCACGUAGUGUGGACACCAGGUUAUAUCAGCUGUGUUGGUGAACCUCUCCCGCAUCUGAACUGGCUGACACAGAUGGCACAGCGUGAUCAUAGGUAUGUUUUGAUGUGAGAGAGGAAGCCAGUCCCGUCAUCGCCACCUCACCCGCUCUUAAGAUGACCUUUGGGCCAACUGGGGGCCCAAGGCUGGCUAGAGACACUUGUAUAUGUAUAAUGUAUAUUGUGAUGAACUGAGAGAAUAUUAGGGUAGCACUGUAAAUUCAUUAAUCAUAGGCUGUCUGCCUUUGUUCUUAUCUCUUUCCCUUUCUGUCUUCUACACCUCUCUCCCCACCGUCUUUCUUCCUCGUUUUAUAAUGCACACCAUAUGUGCAUUGAAGUACAGAUUGAACUUGUAUUUAUAAUAUUACAAUUAUCAUAAUUAUAAUGCAUGUAUUAUGUAUUUAUAACACCUGGAUAAUGAACUUCUUUCAAUAAAGAGUUUCAGAUUC